GGAGAAGGACAAGAUCAUUGAACAUCUACAGUCUGAGACAGACCAUCUCAGAGCCCUUUUAAAAGACGAAAGGAGGAGAAGAAGAGUAGAAAGGGGUAUAAUGAAAGAGUGGAAGGCUGAGAUCCUGAGGGAGCCAGAGAGCCAGAGGGAGCCAGAGAGCCAAAGAAUGGGAGGAGAACCAGAGAAAAAUGCAGGAAAUCAACAGACUCAAACAACUGCAGGAGCUGCUGAUGGUGGACCUACAACUGGCCCACCUUCAAUCAGAGAGAGAAGAUAAUAGAAGCAAACAAAAGAGAUGAGAUGGCGGAAGAGGAAAGAAGGGAGAUCCUUGAGAAGUACAAGAGGGGUGAGAUAGAGAACACUGAAGAGGAGGAGGAAGAUGACAAGGAGGACCUUGUCCCACCCUAUAAAAACAGCCGAAGGAGAGCUGUGGGCUGGGUGAAUAAGAAGUGGGAGAAGAGGAACCUCAAAAAGAUAGAGAGAACUUAUCAGAGAGAGGCUGAGGAGGGCUAUAAGAUCGUCCAUAUAGUCAUCCCUGUACACAAAGGGCUAACAUCUAUCAUCACCUGGGCAGAGAGAGAGAGGGAGAAGAGGAAGGAGCUCCUGGAGGCUGAGGAGAAAAGGAAGAAGAUGAGGGAUUACAGUGGAGAGAGCAGUCCCUGCCUAAAAAAAUGGACUCAUCAGAAACUGAAGGAGGAGAGGGAGAGGAUGAAAGAGCAGUACCUAAAAGACAAGCAGGAGAAAUGGCUGGAGCAGAUGAAUCUGGAGGCUGAUGAGCAAAUCCAUAAGUUCAGCACCCAGUACAUCACCCGGUGUCCAACCACCCAACACAGCCACGACUACAACCAAGGUCAGGAAUUGCCGGGGUGAGACAUAGGCCAACAGGUAAGCCAAGAGCCCGUUGGAUCUGGAGAUGGCCAGCAGGAGUGGUCAAGGAGGCCACAGGCAGAGAACCAGCAGGGGGGGGGGCAGAGAGCCAGCAGGUAGAGGCUCCAGA
rnacentral:lncRNA from 1 species